GGAAGAGGUUUUCUAAAGAACGAAGGAAGAAGAGGCUUUCUAAAGCAGUUGCUUGGGAAUGCAGGACUCAUUGCACCCACUUUACUGGGAAGUGGGAAGGCAUACGCUGAUGACCAAGGAGUUUCUUCCUCCAGGAUGUCCUAUUCCAGAUUUUUGGAGUACUUGGAUAAAGACAGAGUGAGAAAGGUUGAUUUGUUUGA
rnacentral:misc_RNA from 1 species